rnacentral:rRNA from 1 species
AUCGUGUAUCGGUAGGGGAGCGUUCUGUUGUAGGUUGAAGUAUUAACGAAAGUGGAUAUGGACGAAGCAGAAGUGAGAAUGUCGGCUUGAGUAACGAAAAUAUAGGUGAGAAUCCUAUACCCCGAAAACCCAAGGUUUCCUCCGGAAGGCUCGUCCGCGGAGGGUAAGUCAGGACCUAAGGCGAGGCUGAAAAGCGUAGUCGAUGGACAACGGGUUAAUAUUCCCGUACCAUUUUUUAUUGAUAACGAGGGACGGAGAAGGCUAAGCUGGCCGGAUGUUGGUUACCGGUUUAAGCGUCCGAGAUGUUGAGAAGUGGCGAAAACACUUUGAGUUGAGGCGUGAAUUCGAGACACUACGGUGUUGAAGCAGUCGAUGUCAGACUUCCAAGAAAAGCUUGCAAUGUCAUAAAUAAAAAAUGCCUGUACCAUAACCGACACAGGUGGGUAGGUAGAGUAUACUAAGGGGCGCGAGAUAACUCUCUCUAAGGAACUCGGCAAAAUAACUCCGUAACUUCGGGAGAAGGAGUGCCUUAUUCGUAAGGUUGCAAUAACAAGAUCCAAGCAACUGUUUAUCAAAAACACAGGUCUCCGCUAAGUCGCAAGACGAUGUAUGGGGGCUGACGCCUGCCCAGUGCCAGAAGGUUAAAGAAGUUGGUUAGCAUUUGCGAAGCUGAUAACUGAAGCCCUGGUGAACGGCGGCCGUAACUAUAACGGUCCUAAGGUAGCGAAAUUCCUUGUCGGGUAAGUUCCGACCCGCACGAAAGGCGUAAUGAUUUGGAUACUGUCUCAGAGAGGGGCUCGGUGAAAUAGACUUGUCUGUGAAGAUGCGGACUACCUGCACCAGGACAGAAAGACCCUAUGAAGCUUUACUGUAGCUUGAAAUUGAAAUUGGACUUUAUUCGCGCAGCAUAGGUGGGAAGCUUUGACGAUAAUCUUGCGGGAAUAUCUGAGCUAUCAGUGAGAUACCACUCUUGUAAUGUUAGAUUUCUAACUUUGUACCAUGAUCUGGUCAAAGAACAGUUUCAGGUGGGCAGUUUGACUGGGGCGGUCGCCUCCCAAAUGGUAACGGAGGCGUACAAAGGUUUCCUCAGGUCGGUCAGAAAUCGAUCGUAGAGUGUAAAGGCAGAAGGAAGCUUGACUGUGAGACCUACAAGUCGAACAGGGACGAAAGUCGGUCUUAGUGAUCUGACGGUACUGAGUGGAAAGGCCGUCACUCAACGGAUAAAAGUUACUCUAGGGAUAACAGGCUGAUCUCCCCCA